AAGGUUCUGGCUAAUACCUGGGGCUCAUGACGGUACCUGAAGAAUAAGCACCGGCUAACUACGUGCCAGCAGCCGCGGUAAUACGUAGGGUGCAAGCGUUAAUCGGAAUUACUGGGCGUAAAGCGUGCGCAGGCGGUUAUGCAAGACAGAUGUGAAAUCCCCGGGCUCAACCUGGGAACUGCCUUUGUGACUGCAUAGCUAGAGUGCGGCAGAGGGGGAUGGAAUUCCGCGUGUAGCAGUGAAAUGCGUAGAUAUGCGGAGGAACACCGAUGGCGAAGGCAAUCCCCUGGGCCUGCACUGACGCUCAUGCACGAAAGCGUGGGGAGCAAACAGGAUUAGAUACCCUGGUAGUCCACGCCCUAAACGAUGUCAACUGGUUGUUGGGAAGGUUUCUUCUCAGUAACGUAGCUAACGCGUGAAGUUGACCGCCUGGGGAGUACGGCCGCAAGGUUGAAACUCAAAGGAAAUUGACG
rnacentral:rRNA from 1 species